AUUGAACGCUGGCGGCAGGCUUAACACAUGCAAGUCGAGCGGGGGAAGGUAGCUUGCUACCGGACCUGGCGGCGGACGGGUGAGUAAUGCUUAGGAAUCUGCCUAUUAGUGGGGGCCAACAUCUCGAAAGGGAUGCUAAUACCGCAUACGUCCUACGGGAGAAAGCAGGGGAUCUUCGGACCUGCGCUAAUAGAUGAGCCUAAGUCGGAUUAGCUAGUUGGUGGGGUAAAGGCCUACCAAGGCGACGAUCUGUAGCGGGUCUGAGAGGAUGAUCCGCCACACUGGGACUGAGACACGGCCCAGACUCCUACGGGAGGCAGCAGUGGGGAAUAUUGGACAAUGGGGGGAACCCUGAUCCAGCCAUGCCGCGUGUGUGAAGAAGGCCUUAUGGUUGUAAAGCACUUUAAGCGAGGAGGAGGCUACUUUAGUUAAUACCUGGAGAUAGUGGACGUUACUCGCAGAAUAAGCACCGGCUAACUCUGUGCCAGCCGCCGCCGUAA
rnacentral:rRNA from 1 species